GUGUGUUCUCCCACAUGAGUUCUUCAGCAUGGCAGCUUCAAUGUAGACUGACUUCUAACAUGUCAGCUCAAAGCUCCCAAGGCACAUGUCAGAGAGAAGAAAAAGGCAGAAACCGCAUCACUUGUGAACCUAGCAUGGAGAGUCAUGCAGUGUCACAUCUACUGAAUUCUACUAGUUAGAAUCAAGUGGGUAAGGCUGGCCUAUAUUCAAGGGAGGGUGAAUUAGACUUUGCUGGGAGGAGUGUCAAAGAAUUUGUGGCCUUGUAUUAAACCUACCACAAAGGGAUUUAUUUUUCAUGUAUGAUGUCUAAAGGGAAGCAGUACUGUAUAAUAUGGGGCUCCAUGAUCUAAUAAAAACCAAGGGUUCAUCUGUUCAUCUAUAAUUCUGCUCUACCAUUUUUAGAUUGGCAUAUUGUCUCAAAGUUGCAAGCUGACUGCUAUAGAUCCAGACAUUGUAGCCAUGUUCAAGACCAAGAGGGGUGGAAAGAAUAGUGCCUGCAGUUCUGGCCUCUUUUAUUAGGAAAUCAAAAGCCGUUCCCAAAACCCACCUCAGCAGAAUUCUGCUUAUGCCACAUUGGCCAGAACUGUUACAAGGCCACCCCUUGCUUCAAGGGAGGUUAGAGCAGUGAAUAUUCAGCUUCUCCUUUCUCUACUGUAGAGGUCAGCGAGGAUGAAGAGAGCCAGAAAUGGGCAUUGGGUCAGUCAAGCCAUGCUUCUGACCUGCAAAGCCUCCAUAUCAGACCCAAAAAUUCACAAGUAAGUAAGUAAGAGCUUCAAAGAACUUCUCUCCCUCAGCCAAGGUUAACUAUAAAAUGACCCAAAUAUGCUUAACAGACCAAAAAAAAAAUUGGCUAAUGAAUGGAACUAUUUACAACUGUAUUUUUGCAAAUAGAAUCAAAAGCUAGAUAUUGAAUUAAAUGAAUUGUUUCUACAGUUUAAACAGGAAGCAGAAUGGGUUUCCCACAGAGCCAUUUGCCGGCAAGAUAGGAGGGACAAGGAAGAGGAGAGACCACUGACUUGUGAUAAAAUGUGAAAGCUGCCCUGCAGAUUACCUUGGCUUCAGAGGCCUGGGGCCUAAAAAUAAUUUGGGGGCAGGGCAAAGAGGAACUCUUCACUUGUAAACCUAACCCAAAUUCUAUAUCUUAUUUUAUAGAACAUUCCUUCUUUUAACCUUGUUACUCACUAGUGAAUGGAAACAGGAAAAACAUUGUGAGUUGAUGGAUUUUAUCUAACCCAUCUGCAACGAUUAUUCAAAUGUAUGGGAAAAAGAAGUCAUCUGUCUUCAAAUCACGAAGAAAGUCCUCAUCAGGAACCAAAUCAUCUGCCACCUUGCUCUUGGACUUCCCAGGCUCUAGAACUAUGAGAAAUAAAUUUUUUGCUGGAUGAAGUGGCUCAUGCCUGUAAUCCCAAAUUUUUCAGAGGCCAAGGCAGUAGGAUCACUUGGGUCCAGGAGUUCAAGACAAGCCUGGGCAACAAAGUGAGACUCUGUCUCUCCAAAAGUCAAAAACUUAGCCAGGCAUGGUAGCAUGAGCCUGUGGUUCCAGCCUUACAAGAGGCUGAGGCAGGAGGAUUGCUUGAGCCAAAAAGAAGAGGCUGCAA
rnacentral:lncRNA from 1 species